rnacentral:rRNA from 1 species
CCUACGGGAGGCAGCAGUGGGGAAUAUUGCACAAUGGGGGAAACCCUGAUGCAGCGACGCCGCGUGAGUGAAGAAGUAUCUCGGUACGUAAAGCUCUAUCAGCAGGGAAGAAAAAAAGUCUUUGGCUUUGGACGGUACCUGACUAAGAAGCCCCGGCUAACUACGUGCCAGCAGCCGCGGUAAUACGUAGGGAGCAAGCGUUAUCCGGAUUUACUGGGUGUAAAGGGCGUGUAGGCGGGCCUGCAAGUCAGAAGUGAAAUCUGGGGGCUUAACCCCUAAACUGCUUUUGAAACUGUGGGUCUUGU